CACCUUCUGCAGCUUCACCCAGGACUCGCCACACCGCAGAGGAAGAUGAAGGUCGCGGUGCUCAGCCUGGCCCUGCUCUUCACCGUCCUGCUGUGCGUGCCAGAAGAUGCUCAGGCACUCCUGGAAGGAAGUGGAGAUGUUAGCCUGGAUCCUCUGACCGAGGAGCAGAUAAGACUUCUUCUGCGCCAGAAACGCGUGCCUGUAGCUGCUGAUGUCCAGUUCCUCAAGUGAUGGUGACAGCCCUGUCCUGUCCCCCUCCAGCGGCAUGAGGAGAUGAUCAUCCCUGGAUGACCCCACCUGAUCCCCUGGGAGCCCUGGGCCAUUUCCCUCUCACGAUCAAUAAACCCCUUCAGCAAAGCUA